rnacentral:rRNA from 1 species
GAUGAACGCUGGCGGCGUGCCUAAUACAUGCAAGUCGAGCGAAUGGAUUAAGAGCUUGCUCUUAUGAAGUUAGCGGCGGACGGGUGAGUAACACGUGGGUAACCUGCCCAUAAGACUGGGAUAACUCCGGGAAACCGGGGCUAAUACCGGAUAACAUUUUGAACCGCAUGGUUCGAAAUUGAAAGGCGGCUUCGGCUGUCACUUAUGGAUGGACCCGCGUCGCAUUAGCUAGUUGGUGAGGUAACGGCUCACCAAGGCAACGAUGCGUAGCCGACCUGGGAGGGUGAUCGGCCACACUGGGACUGAGACACGGCCCAGACUCCUACGGGAGGCAGCAGUAGGGAAUCUUCCGCAAUGGACGAAAGUCUGACGGAGCAACGCCGCGUGAGUGAUAAAGGCUUCCGGGUCGUAAAACUCUGUUGUUAGGGAAGAACAAGUGCUAGUUGAAUAAGCUGGCACCUUGACGGUACCUAACCAGAAAGUCACGGCUAACUACGUGCCAGCAGCAGCCGCCG